rnacentral:rRNA from 1 species
GACGAACGCUGGCGGCGUGCCUAAUACAUGCAAGUAGAACGCUGAAGGAGGAGCUUGCUUCUCUGGAUGAGUUGCGAACGGGUGAGUAACGCGUAGGUAACCUGCCUGGUAGUGGGGGAUAACUAUUGGAAACGAUAGCUAAUACCGCAUAAUAGCAGUUGUUGCAUGAUAACUGUUUGAAAGGUGCAAUUGCACCGCUACCAGAUGGACCUGCGUUGUAUUAGCUAGUUGGUGGGGUAACGGCUCACCAAGGCGACGAUACAUAGCCGACCUGAGAGGGUGAUCGGCCACACUGGGACUGAGACACGGCCCAGACUCCUACGGGAGGCAGCAGUAGGGAAUCUUCGGCAAUGGACGGAAGUCUGACCGAGCAACGCCGCGUGAGUGAAGAAGGUUGUCGGAUCGUAAAGCUCUGUUGUAAGAGAAGAACGAGUGUGAGAGUGGAAAGUUCACGCUGUGACGGUAUCUUACCAGAAAGGGACGGCUAACUACGUG